rnacentral:rRNA from 1 species
GAUGAACGCUAGCGGCAGGCUUAACACAUGCAAGUCGAGGGGUAUAGUAGCAAUACUAGAGACCGGCGCACGGGUGCGUAACGCGUAUGCAAUCUACCUUUUACAGAGGGAUAGCCCAGAGAAAUUUGGAUUAAUACCUCAUAGCAUUGCGAAAUGGCAUCAUUUUGCAAUUAAAGUCACAACGGUAAAAGAUGAGCAUGCGUCCCAUUAGCUAGUUGGUAAGGUAACGGCUUACCAAGGCAACGAUGGGUAGGGGUCCUGAGAGGGAGAUCCCCCACACUGGUACUGAGACACGGACCAGACUCCUACGGGAGGCAGCAGUGAGGAAUAUUGGACAAUGGGCGCAAGCCUGAUCCAGCCAUGCCGCGUGCAGGAUGACGGUCCUAUGGAUUGUAAACUGCUUUUGUACGAGAAGAAACACUCCGACGUGUCGGAGCUUGACGGUAUCGUAAGAAUAAGGAUCGGCUAACUCCGUGCCAGCAGCCG